rnacentral:rRNA from 1 species
CGAGUGGCGGACGGGUGAGUAAUGCUUAGGAAUCUGCCCAGUAGCGGGGGACAACCUGGUGAAAACCAGGCUAAUACCGCAUACGCCCUACGGGGGAAAGCAGGGGAUCUUCGGACCUUGCACAAUUGGAUGAGCCUAAGUCAGAUUAGCUUGUUGGUGGGGUAAUGGCCUACCAAGGCGACGAUCUGUAGCUGGUCUGAGAGGACGAUCAGCCACACUGGAACUGAGACACGGUCCANACUCCUACGGGAGGCAGCAGUGGGGAAUAUUGCACAAUGGGCGCAAGCCUGAUGCAGCAAUGCCGCGUGUGUGAAGAAGGCCUGCGGGUUGUAAAGCACUUUCNGUAANGAGGAAAAGUAUGUAGUUAAUAACUGCGUUNCCUGACGUUNNUUACAGAAGAAGCANCGGCUANCUCCGUGCCAGCAGCCGNGGUAAUACGGAGGGUGCGAGCGUUAAUCGGAAUUACUGGGCGUAAAGCG